GCGAAAUGAUGAAACAAGAUGGCCUCCAUAGGAUUUCAAAUCCUUUCCAUCUGCUUGCUUUUAAACUUCUUCGAAAUCGUUCAGCAAGACAAAGUAUACUUAAUCAAGGGUCCAAAACAUAUCAACGGUUCUAUUGGAGAAGAUGCCUUGUUUAUGUGGAAUACGACGGAUCGAAAAGAAAUUCUUGCUGUCAGCUGGGGAAUAAGAAAGGGCAACAUCCCUGAUCCUCAGUUUAUCAGUGUUGAUGGCUACCAUAGAAGGGUGACCAAAAACAAAGAUAUUGGCGAAACGUUGAAAAGAAGAGUAGAAUUUCUUGGAAACUUGACAAUGGGUCGUGCUUGGUUUGUGUUGAAGAACCUUACUGUCAAUGACACUAAUGAAUACAUUGCAAGCAUCAGUGACGAUGAAUCUAGUGAUAUACCAUAUUGUGUGCGCCUAAACGUUACGGAGAAGAGAAAAGAAAAACCAACAGAAGGGCCUUCUCCAACCCCAGACACUACAGCUGCUGCUCCGAACAAUACAAAUAAAUAGUGAAAAAUAGUGAUUUUGCAUCAGUUCCUUAAUUUUGUUAGUAUUGCAUAAAUAAUUUAACAAUAGCUUGUUAAACCUCUUUUGGCAGGCGGGAGUCUGUUGCGGCUAUACGGUGGAAAGGAGAGAGAGAGAGAGAGAGAGAGCUAAUUAUCACCAAAGUACCUCGCAUGUCAAUGAUAUCACUCGCCUGUGUAUAAGGAAUCCAUAGUCUGAAUGAAAGCAUAUUAUUAUUGUGUACCUUAUUUUAUUUCUUUUAUUAUUGCUAUAGGAGCACCGACAAAUAAAACAAAUACAUUUUCGAACAUUACAACACCACCCGAACCAAACUCGUCGAACAUACAAAGGCACAUUAAUGGUUACACAAUAUUAACGGAUAUUGCACUGGUGUUGUGGCACUUUUCAAUUUAGG